rnacentral:rRNA from 1 species
ACGUAGGUGGGUUUGUAAGUCAGAUGUGAAAGCCUUCUGUUCAAAGGAAGAACGGCAUCUGAAACUGCAGAUCUUGAGUGUAGGAGGGGAGAGUGGAACUUCUGGUGGAGCGGUGAAAUGCGUAGAUAUCAGAAGGAACGUCGGCGGCGAAAGCGACUCUCUGGCCUAUUACUGACACUGAGUGUGCGAAAGUUAGGGGAGCAAACGGGAUUAGAUACCCCGGUAGUCCUAACUGUAAACGAUGGGCACUAAGUAGAGGGGUUUUAA